rnacentral:rRNA from 1 species
UACGGAGGGGGCUAGCGUUGUUCGGAAUUACUGGGCGUAAAGCGCACGUAGGCGGAUAUUUAAGUUAGGGGUGAAAUCCCAGGGCUCAACCCUGGAACUGCCUUUAAUACUGGGUAUCUCGAGUCCGAGAGAGGUGAGUGGAAUUCCGAGUGUAGAGGUGAAAUUCGUAGAUAUUCGGAGGAACACCAGUGGCGAAGGCGGCUCACUGGCUCGGUACUGACGCUGAGGUGCGAAAGCGUGGGGAGCAAACAGG